rnacentral:rRNA from 1 species
GACGAACGCUGGCGGCGUGCUUAACACAUGCAAGUCGAACGGAAAGGCCCUGCUUUUGUGGGGUGCUCGAGUGGCGAACGGGUGAGUAACAUGUGAGUAACCUGCCCUUGACUUUGGGAUAACUUCAGGAAACUGGGGCUAAUACCGGAUAGGAGCUCCUGCUGCAUGGUGGGGGUUGGAAAGGUUCGGUGGAUGGGGAUGGACUCGCGGCUUAUCAGCUUGUUGGUGGGGUAGUGGCUUACCAAGGGUUUGACGGGUAGCCGGCCUGAGAGGGUGACCGGCCACAUUGGGACUGAGCUACGGCCCAGACUCCUGCGGGAGGCAGCAGUGGGGAAUAUUGCACAAUGGGCGGAAGCCUGAUGCAGCAACGCCGCGUGCGGGAUGACGGCCUUCGGGUUGUAAGCCGCUUUCGCCUGUGACGAAGCGUGAGUGACGGUAAUAGGUAAAGAAGCACCGGCUAACUACGUG